rnacentral:misc_RNA from 1 species
AACUUAUCUCAACUACAUCAGUCUGGAUGUAGCUUGGAUGUGGGGGGUAUCUGCAGGCUUGAAAUGAAGUCUGCUCCUCUGAAAUACAUUAGUGGUGACUGAGGCUGCUGCUAUAGGUGUGAUAAAUAUCUAUGCCUUAUGCGCAGUUGGAUUGCACUGCUUCUAACAAAUUUUAUCGUUUGACAA